UGCAAAAAAAUCAUGGUAAAAAAUUCAAUGAAUCAAAUUGUUAUUGACAUUAUAAAUUAAUGUAAUUAUUGUAUAAUUAAUAAGUAAACUUUUUUUCAGCGAAAUGUUUUCCGUUUUGACACGUGAAUAUAACUUUAAGCUACUUUUUUACUGUUUAUAACAGUAUCGAUUUAUAUAUAAACAAAUAAAAUUUUGGAAAAUGCCGACCACAAAAUUGUUUUUAGAAAAACAAUUAACGAUUAUGGCGCAAUAUUUUGUGCCACACAUGUCUUAUUCAGCUAUAAAGUUGUGGUUAGAUAGAAUAGCUCAAAGAGUAUUACUUCGUUUAAGAAAUAGCUAUCCAACUCAUACAAUUCUUUCUACGAGUUUUUUUUUACGAAAGUUAUUUGCUUUUUGAACAGAUAACAAUAUUGAUGACAAUUUCUGGGAUGACACUGAAUCAAAUCAAAUUGUGGGUAUUCUCGAAGAAUAUAUAUUUUCGGAGUUAGAGGGCCAUGAAUUGUAUCAAUUAUUAAUGUUAUCACCUCUCGAAACCAAAUAUAUAGAAUAUUAAUACAAACAAUUGGGAUUAUGCAGAAUAUUUUUAUAUGGCAAAUACGCAACACUCCAACACCGUUUAUCCGUUAAACAUCAUCAGAAGGAGAUAUCAAAAUAAUAAUUUUACAUUAAUGGAGACAUUAGAAGAUGAUCAAAUUGAGAUUAGAUCUGACACUGUAGUAGAUAAACUAUUAAAAAGAAGGCCAAAAACGGUUAACUUUGCUGUAAGGAUGAUUGUAAAGCAUAACUGGCUACCAAAAAGCAUUACGACGUGAUCGUUGGAUGGCAUCGCCAAUAUAAUGAAAAAGAUAAAUUGAAAUAUUGGACUAUUAGGUUUCCAAAUUUGCAACGUCUGAUGUAUAUACAUUUUGACAUUUGUAAAUAUGAAAAAGUUUCAGACCGUCAACCGCUCUACAUUAUUUUUACCGAUAAUGAUACAAUAUGUUAUGCUUUUUAGUAGCAUUCUUAUAGAUUACAUACUCAUAUGUGUUUUUUGGUGGCUUAUAUACAAUGUAAAUGUGGGCGUAUAAUUUUUUAUUUUAGACCAACUACGGAUUUGUUCACCGAAAAAAAUUAAAAAUAUCGAAAUUGGAAGGUACUUUUCCAGUUUCGAAGGUACACAUUACGUACCGAAUGCAAGCUUAGAAAGACAAUAUCCAAACGAUUCCGCUGCAAUAGCCAGAAUAUUUGCCAAACAGAAACGUUCAUCACGUUAAAAUGUAUAAAUUUGUUGUAUGUUAUAUUGCAACAGAACUUUUUUAUGAAUAUAUUGAUGUAUUUCGAAGAUUUUAGAGUUAAAAUUGUAAUAUUUAGACGCAAAUUGAAAAAAUGAAUAAAAAAUAUCAAAUUAUAUCAAAUUACAUAAGCGUGUCAUUAAAUAUUUAUUUUAAUAUGUCCACCAAACAAAUAAUAUUGAAAUCUGGAAGUACUUGUCUAGUUUAAAAAGCACUUAUUAUGUUCCAAAUGCAAGCUUUUGUUUGGAAAACAUUCAAACUACACCGUUGUUACACGGAGAAAUAAUUUUAAUUUUAAUUAAUUCUAACUCUCAUUAAUUUAUAAUACACUUUUAAAUAACAAUUUAUUUUUUGUAUUAUUGAUAAACCAUCAUAAUUUUAUAGAACAAAUUAUUGUAUACAACAUAAUAGAAUUUAAAAUUAACAUUUACCUAAUA